GACUGUCACUGACCUAUAAACUAGUUCUUAUCUAAAACUGGUCCUAAUGAAUGUUAAAAUAAGCUAAAAAAAGAUAACACUAAUGAUAAAUUAGUAAGUUCAUGCUUAGUGAAAUCAGUAGUAUGUAAAUUAAAUUAUUUUAUUUAUUUCCAUCUAUUUACCUGAUAUUGAUAUAUUUUAUUUCUUAAUUUAGUUAUUUACAGUUUAUAACCAUCAAAAUAACACAUUAUCACGUCAUGUUUUAUAUUGUGUAAAGUCUAUAUAUGCUUGUGUGAUUAAAAAUUUAAUUAAACAAU
rnacentral:sRNA from 1 species